rnacentral:rRNA from 1 species
CCAAUCGAACCCGGAGAUAGCUGGUUCUCCUCGAAAUAGCUUUAGGGCUAGCCUCAUGGAUCAUUGGUGGGGGUAGAGCACUGAAUGUGCGCGGGGGCCACAAAGCCUACCAAACGCUAUCAAACUUCGAAUACCAUACAAUGCAGACCAUGGGAGUCAGUCCGCGAGAGAUAAGUUCCGCGGGCAAAAGGGGAACACCCCAGAUCAACCGCUAAGGUCCCCAAGUUCACGUUAAGUGGAGAAGGAUGUGGAAUUGCACAGACAACCAGGAUGUUGGCUCAGAAGCAGCCACACAUUUAAAGAGUGCGUAAUAGCUCACUGGUCGAGUGAUUGUGCGCCGAAGAUGUCCGGGGCUAAACGUGACACCGAAGCGAUGGGUGCAUCUGAAGAAGAUGCGCGGUAGAGGAGCAAUGUGCAGAGGCAGAAGCCGUAUCGAGAGGCACGGUGGACACUGCACAAGAGAGAAUGCCGGUAUGAGUAGCGAGAGGCAUGCGAGAAACAUGCCCGUCGAAAGCCCAAGGUUUCCUGGGGAAGGUUCAUCCGCCCAGGGUAAGUCGGGGCCUAAGCCGAGGACGGAAGUCGUAGGCGAUGGACAGCAGGUGUAGAUUCCUGCACUACCGAUGGAAUGAAGCAGUGACACAGAAGGAUAACUCGAGCAGGGUGAUGGUCAACCCUGUGCAAGCAUCAAGGUUGGGUUGUAGUGAAGUACGCAACCCUAUAAGCUGAGGUGUGAUGCGGACCGAAAUUUCAGUAGGGAAGCGAGUGAGUUCACGCUGGCGAGAAAAGCUGCUAGUACAUCCAAAGGUACCCGUACCGGAAACCGACGCAGGUGGGCGAGGAGAGAAUCCUGAGACGAACGGGAGAACCCUUGUUAAGGAACUCGGCAAAAUGACCCCGUAACUUCGGGAUAAGGGGUGCCUGCGAGAGCAGGCCGCAGAGAAUAGUCACAAGCGACUGUUUAGCAAAAACACAGGUAUCUGCGAAAGCGAGAGCUGACGUAUAGGUGCUGACACCUGCCCGGUGCUGGAAGGUUAAGGGAACAUGUUAGAGCAAUCGAAGCAUCGAACCGAAGCCCCAGUAAACGGCGGCCGUAACUAUAACGGUCCUAAGGUAGCGAAAUUCCUUGUCGGGUAAGUUCCGACCCGCACGAAUGGUGUAACGACUUGUGAGCUGUCUCAACAGGGGGCCCGGUGAAAUUGAAGUAUGGGUGAAGAUGCCCAUUACCCGCGACUGGACGGAAAGACCCCGUAGAGCUUUACUGCAGCCUGAUAUUGAGUUUCGGUAACUGAUGCACAGGAUAGGUGGGAGUCUGAGAGACAUGGGUUUCGGCUCAUGAGGAGACGCUGUUGGGAUACCACUCUUCGGUUACUGAAAUUCUAACAUAGCUCUGUGAAACCAGAGGAUGGACAGUGUCAGGUGGACAGUUUGACUGGGGCGGUCGCCUCCGAAAGAGUAACGGAGGCGCCCAAAGGUACCCUCAGAAUGGAUGGAAACCAUUCGAAGAGCGCAAAGGCAGAAGGGUGCCUGACUGCGAGAUUGACAAAUCGAGCAGAGACGAAAGUCGGGCUUAGUGAUCCGGCGGUAUUGAGUGGAAAAGCCGUCGCUUAACGGAUAAAAGCUACCUCGGGGAUAACAGGCUGAUCUCCCCCAAGAGUCCACAUCGACGGGGAGGUUUGGCACCUCGAUGUCGGCUCAUCGCAUCCUGGGGCUGUAUUCGGUCCCAAGGGUUUGGCUGUUCGCCAAUUAAAGCGGCACGCGAGCUGGGUUCAGAACGUCGUGAGACAGUUCGGUCCCUAUCCAUCGUGGGCGUAGGAGUCAUGAGAGGAGCUGUUCCUAGUACGAGAGGACCGGAAUGGACGCACCACUGGUGCAACUGUUGUCGUGCCAACGGCAUAGCAGGGAAGCGAAGUGCGGAAGGGAUAAACGCUGAAGGCAUCUAAGCGUGAAGCCCACCUCAAGAAUAAGACUCCACAAUAGACCCCUGGAGGACUACCAGGUAGAUAGGUCAUCGGUGGAAGCGCUGUAAGGCGUGUAGCUUGAUGAUACUAAUCGGUCGAAAGCUUCAUUUA